GUCAACGACCAUAUCAUGCUGAGUCAAAACACCAGUUCUCGUCCGAUCACUGAAGUUAAGCAGCAUUGAGCGUGGUUAGUACUUGGAUGGGUGACCGCUUGGGAACACCACGUGUUGUUGGCA
rnacentral:rRNA from 1 species